AGCAGCCGCGGUAAUUCCAGCUCCAAUAGCGUAUAUUAAAGUUGUUGCAGUUAAAAAGCUCGUAGUUGAAUUUCGGGAUCAGUAUGUUGGUCGUGCUUCGGUACGUACUGUCAUUACUGGUUUCUACCUUCUGAAGAACCUUGAUGUCAUUAAUUUGGUGUCUUGGGGAAUCAGGACUGUUACUUUGAAAAAAUUAGAGUGUUUAAAGCAAGCAUACGCUUGAAUACAUUAGCAUGGAAUAAUGAAAUAGGACGUUUGAUUCUAUUUUGUUGGUUUCUAGGAUCGACGUAAUGAUUAAUAGGGAUAGUUGGGGGCAUUAGUAUUCAAUUGUCAGAGGUGAAACUCUUGGAUUUAUUGAAGACUAACUACUGCGAAAGCAUUUGCCAAGGAUGUUUUCAUUAAUCAAGAACGAAAGUUAGGGGAUCGAAGACGAUCAGAUACCGUCGUAGUCUUAACCAUAAACUAUGCCGACUAGGGAUCGGAUGAUGUUAUUUUUAAUGACUCAUUCGGCGCCUUAACC
rnacentral:rRNA from 1 species